rnacentral:rRNA from 1 species
GACGUAGGGAGCGAGCGUUGUCCGGAUUUACUGGGCGUACAGGGAGCGUAGGCGGUUGGAUAAGCCCUCCGUGAAAUCUCCAGGCUUAACCUGGAAAGUGCAGAGGGGACUGUUCAGCUAGAGGAUGGGAGAGGAGCGCGGAAUUCCCGGUGUAGCGGUGAAAUGCGUAGAGAUCGGCAGGAACACCCAUUGCGAAAGCAGCGGACUGGCGCGGAACUGACACUGAGGUGCGAAAGCGUGGGGAGCGAACCGG